UGCAGUCGAGCGAACUUUUGGGAGCUUGCUCCCAAAAGUUAGCGGCGGACGGGUGAGUAACACGUGGGCAACCUGCCUAUAAGACUGGGAUAACUUCGGGAAACCGGAGCUAAUACCGGAUAACAUAUGAGACCACAUGGUCUCAUAUUAAAAGAUGGCUUUUAGCUAUCACUUAUAGAUGGGCCCGCGGCGCAUUAGCUAGUUGGUGAGGUAAUGGCUCACCAAGGCGACGAUGCGUAGCCGACCUGAGAGGGUGAUCGGCCACACUGGGACUGAGACACGGCCCAGACUCCUACGGGAGGCAGCAGUAGGGAAUCUUCCGCAAUGGACGAAAGUCUGACGGAGCAACGCCGCGUGAGCGAAGAAGGUCUUCGGAUCGUAAAGCUCUGUUGUUAGGGAAGAACAAGUACCGUUCAAAUAGGGCGGUACCUUGACGGUACCUAACCAGAAAGCCACGGCUAACUACGUGCCAGCAGCCGCGGUAAUACGUAGGUGGCAAGCGUUAUCCGGAAUUAUUGGGCGUAAAGCGCGCGCAGGCGGUCCUUUAAGUCUGAUGUGAAAGCCCACGGCUCAACCGUGGAGGGUCAUUGGAAACUGGGGGACUUGAGUGCAGAAGAGGAGAGCGGAAUUCCACGUGUAGCGGUGAAAUGCGUAGAGAUGUGGAGGAACACCAGUGGCAAAGGCGGCUCUCUGGUCUGUAACUGACGCUGAGGCGCGAAAGCGUGGGGAGCGAACAGGAUUAGAUACCCUGGUAGUCCACGCCGUAAACGAUGAGUGCUAAGUGUUAGAGGGUUUCCGCCCUUUAGUGCUGCAGCAAACGCAUUAUGCACUCCGCCUGGGGAGUACGGUCGCAGGACUGAAACUCAAAGGAAUUGACGGG
rnacentral:rRNA from 2 species